AAGGCCUCACUGGGGAUGAAUGAGUCAUGCAGUGAGGAGACAGAGCCUGUCCAGGCAAGGCAGUGGUGUGGGUGUGUGGCCCGUGUCUUCGGCAGGAUUUCCUUUAUUUCAGAAGAACUUUGCUGCACUGGUUGUCGAUACUUCCCCUUCUCUUCAGAAAGCUCCUCAGCUGUCAUUCUUAUUUGCUCAGCCAGAAGUUGCUGAAGUUCCUCUGUAGACAAUUCCCCUGAAUGUUCUUCUACCAGUUCCUCAGCAUCACACUGUCUACCUGCAAGCCUGUGAACUCUGCUACAGUGACAGUGUUACUAAACACAGGGUAAGUUGAAGGCUCAGGCUCCUCUGCACAGCUGUCAAAGUCUCUCCUCUAUAUAAUUUUAG
rnacentral:lncRNA from 1 species